CCAGAGAACUUAGCAGAGAUGCUUUGGUCCUUCGGGAACUCUGAGACAGGUGCUGCAUGGCUGUCGUCAGCUCGUGUUGUGAAAUGUUGGGUUAAGUCCCGCAACGAGCGCAACCCUUAUCCUUUGUUGCCAGCGGUCCGGCCGGGAACUCAAAGGAGACUGCCAGUGAUAAACUGGAGGAAGGUGGGGAUGACGUCAAGUCAUCAUGGCCCUUACGAGUAGGGCUACACACGUGCUACAAUGGCGCAUACAAAGAGAAGCGACCUCGCGAGAGCAAGCGGACCUCAUAAAGUGCGUCGUAGUCCGGAUUGGAGUCUGCAACUCGACUCCAUGAAGUCGGAAUCGCUAGUAAUCGUAGAUCAGAAUGCUACGGUGAAUACGUUCCCGGGCCUUGUACACACCGCCCGUCACACCAUGGGAGUGGGUUGCAAAAGAAGUAGGUAGCUUAACCUUCGGGAGGGCGCUUACCACUUUGUGAUUCAUGACUGGGGUGAAGUCGUAACAAGGUAAGCGUAGCGAG
rnacentral:rRNA from 1 species